CAAUAGCGUAUAUUUAAGUUGUUGCAGUUAAAAAGCUCGUAGUUGGAUUUCGGUUAAGAGCGACCGGUCCGCCGUUUGGUGUGCACUGGUUGGUUUUAACUUCCUGUAGAGGACGUGCUCUGGGUUUAACGACCUGGACUCGGAGUCUACGUGGUUACUUUGAAAAAAUUAGAGUGUUCAAAGCGGGCUUACGCUUGAAUAUUUCAGCAUGGAAUAACACUAUAGGACUCCUGUCCUAUUUCGUUGGUCUCGGGACGGGAGUAAUGAUUAAGAGGAACAGUUGGGGGCAUUCGUAUUUCAUUGUCAGAGGUGAAAUUCUUGGAUUUAUGAAAGACGAACUUCUGCGAAGGCAUUUGCCAAGGAUGUUUUCAUUAA
rnacentral:rRNA from 1 species